GACGAAGGGGGCUAGCGUUGUUCGGAAUUACUGGGCGUAAAGAGCGCGUAGGUGGUUUGGUAAGUUGGAAGUGAAAGCCCGGGGCUUAACCUCAGAACUGCUUUCAAAACUGCUAAGCUAGAGUGUAGUAGGGGAUGAUGGAAUUCCUAGUGUAGAGGUGAAAUUCUUAGAUAUUAGGAGGAACACCGGUGGCGAAGGCGGUCAUCUGGGCUACAACUGACACUGAUGCGCGAAAGCGUGGGGAGCAAACAGG
rnacentral:rRNA from 1 species